rnacentral:lncRNA from 1 species
ACGCUGGACGUGCUGCUCAAGGAGAUGCUGACGGAGCGCUCGACCGCCGCAGCCGCCGCACCGUUCACCGUCGCUGAUGUCAUGUCCCGCCUGGCGCGCGCCAACCUGGCGUUCCCCGAGAACGCCGUCGUGCAGGUGCGCACUGGUGAAGAUACUGUAGGGUAUUACCGUACUCGUGACAUGAAUAACAAUCCCAAGUGAAGAGAAUUAAAGUUAGGUCGCUGCAAUUACCAUAGGGCCUGUAGUUCUGGGUUUGCAAGUUGUUCAACCAUGCGAUUGUGCUGCAAAAUCGCAGCUGUGUCCCAUGUCUGUUGGUGGGCUGUGAAGCACUUUGAAGCCUUUUGACAGCACGCUGCAGCAGAUCAAGCUUGGGGUGACUGCCUGGCACUUUUGCAAUGGCAUCUUGGAGAACGCCGCGCACAUACCUGCUUCUUUAGGCACACAUAUGCAAGGGCUGCCACUAUGGUCUUUGCAGCAGCAUGAGUUUUGAAAACAUUUGGAGGUGACUCGCAUGUGGCCAAAAUGAAACGUGCACCUAUCAUGGAUAUGCAGGCCAUCAAGGAUGCCAGCGAGCGCUUUGAGGCAGACCCUGACUGUGGCGCACCUCCCAUCAUGUGGGACGACGUGACCAACACCUUCGUGGACAUGAGCUGAGGAAAUCAUGCGCGUCAUGCCAAAGAUACUGGUUCUACCGGACCAGACGACCACAUUAAUGGAUGCCAUGGAUCGUCAACGUCUGCCUUUACAACUUGCAGCAGCUCUGCACCAAUUCGAUGUUGAAGAGGUAUUGACUGGACAAAGUCAUUAUUUGGCAAUAGAGGUGAUCGUUGGAAUGCAUGCACCACUCUGUGAGGCGUCAAUGACACUGGAAUGG